CCUACGGGAGGCAGCAGUGAGGAAUAUUGGUCAAUGGACGAGAGCCUGAACCAGCCAAGUAGCGUGAAGGAUGACUGCCCUAUGGGUUGUAAACUUCUUUUAUAUGGGAAUAAAACGUUCCACGUGUGGGGUUUUGUAUGUACCAUAUGAAUAAGGAUCGGCUAACUCCGUGCCAGCAGCCGCGGUAAUACGGAGGAUCCGAGCGUUAUCCGGAUUUAUUGGGUUUAAAGGGAGCGUAGGCGGAUUGUUAAGUCAGUUGUGAAAGUUUGCGGCUCAACCGUAAAAGUGCAGUUGAAACUGGCAGUCUUGAGUACAGGAGAGGUAGGCGGAAUUCGUGGUGUAGCGGUGAAAUGCUUAGAUAUCACGAAGAACUCCGAUUGCGAAGGCAGUACACUGGAGUGCAACUGACGCUGAGGCUCGAAAGUGUGGGUAUCAAACAGGAUUAGAUACCCUAGUAGUC
rnacentral:rRNA from 1 species